CACUCUUUCUCCUUCCCUCUCUCUUCACUCCUCCUGUCUCCCCCCUCUGCCAACACUCUUCUCAUAGCCCUCUAUUCUGCUGCCCAUAUUCAGUCCGGACUCUUCCAGAUGCUUCUGCCUGUGCUCUCCCUCAUAUCUACAAUAAAAACCUCUUCAACCAUAUCCGAGAGCAGUCGUGUCCUCGUUUUCAUUCAAAUGACACCUACAUGUUCCCUUUUAAUUCUGUGUCCUCGGAAGUGUUCACAUCCAGAAUGUACAUUAUCAACAAGAAGGGCAAAACCUCCCACACAAAAAUUAAGAUUGAGCAAGUGGGUUGCAAAAAUAAACAAAACAAAAA
rnacentral:lncRNA from 1 species